rnacentral:rRNA from 1 species
AGCGGCGGACGGGGGAGUAACGCGUGGGUAACCGUGCCUCAUACAGGGGGAUAACAGUUGGAAACGGCUGCUAAUACCGCAUAAGCGCACAGUACCGCAUGGUACGGUGUGAAAAACUCCGGUGGUAUGAGAUGGACCCGCGUCUGAUUAGGUAGUUGGUGGGGUAACGGCCUACCAAGCCGACGAUCAGUAGCCGACCUGAGAGGGUGACCGGCCACAUUGGGACUGAGACACGGCCCAG